UUAGGAAUUUUGGGCAAUGGGCGCAAGCCUGACCCAGCAACGCCGCGUGGGUGACGAAGGCCUUCGGGUUGUAAAGCCCUUUUCUGAGGGAAGAUGAUGACGGUACCUCAGGAAGAAGCACCGGCUAACUACGUGCCAGCAGCCGCGGUAAUACGUAGGGUGCGAGCGUUGCCCGGAUUUAUUGGGCGUAAAGGGCGCGUAGGCGGCCACGCACGUCCGUUGUGAAAUCGCUCGGCUCAACUGGGCGGGGUCAGCGGAUACGGUGUGGCUGGAGCAAGCUAGGGGGCAAUGGAAUUCCCGGUGUAGUGGUGGAAUGCGUAGAUAUCGGGAGGAACACCAGUGGCGAAGGCGGUUGCCUGGAGCUUUGCUGACGCUGAGGCGCGAAAGCGUGGGGAGCGAUC
rnacentral:rRNA from 1 species